rnacentral:rRNA from 1 species
AUGCAUGACAGAAGCAGAGUUGUUUCGAAUGCCAUCAUCUCUACGAAGGCUAUUCGCGACAAUCAUGGUUUUUUGCGAGCCCAGCGACGUCCGUGGUCUCUGGAACAAACACCUCGAGGCAAUGUCAGAGGACUACAGCAGAAACUGAAAUGCAAGCACACUGUCGAACAAAUGGUGCUGAGAAAUGUUAGGGACAUGUUGCACUCAAUGGGAAAAGACAUAGAAUCGUUUCCUCUUCCAGAGAUCGACAAACAGCAUGAGAUGACAAACGACCUGCCUAGGGAAAUCAUCGAGGAGACCUCCAUCGAGGUGGACCCUGAGGACACAUCGUUGCAUAAAAACCUAAAUACCGAGCAAAGGAUGGCCUAUGACGAAAUCCUAGCCACAGUUGACCGCCAAAGAGGAGGUAUAUUCUUUGUCGAUGGGCCGGGAGGCACAGGAAAAACUUUUCUUUACAGGGCGCUCUUGGCCACAGUACGCGGACAAGGCAAGAUUGUUGUGGCGACAGCCACUUCCGGUGUUGUUGCUUCCAUAAUGCCUGGAGGGAGGACCGCACACUCAAGGUUCAAAAUUCCACUAAAAAUAGAUGAUGGUGCUAUUUGUAGCUUCACAAAACAAAGUGGGACAGCCAAGCUACUCCAAGCAGCAUCGCUAAUAAUCUGGGACGAAGCAUCUAUGACUAAGAGGCAAACAGUGGAGGCGCUAGACAAGAGCGUGAGGGACAUAAUGGACAGACCAGAUCUUCCUUUUGGUGGAAGAACGGUCGUAUUUGGGGGAGAUUUUAGACAAGUGCUCCCUGUUGUCCGAAAGGGAACAAGGGCCCAGAUAGUAGAUGCAUCGCUACGCAGGUCGGAGCUCUGGAAUUGCAUGCGUCAGUUGAAGCUUGUGCGCAACAUGAGGGCUCAAAACGACCCGUGGUUCGCAGAAUACCUACUACGCAUUGGAAAUGGAACUGAGGAGACGAAUGAUGAUGGUGAAAUACUUCUACCUAGAAGUAUAUGUGUGGCAAAUAAGACGGAUGAUAAUGGCCUGGACAGACUCAUUGACAGUAUCUAUCAAACAGGCAAUGCUUCCCUAAUAAAGGAUCCAAGGUACAUCACAUCAAGAGCAAUUUUAUCCACAAGGAACGACUGCGUGGACAAAAUCAACUUAAAAAUGAUUGAUCGCUUCCAGGGGGAGGAGAUGGUGUACCACAGCUUUGAUUCCGUAGAAGACGACCCACAUAACUACUAUCCACCAGAAUACUUAAACACCCUAACCCCAAAUGGACUGCCUCCACAUAUGUUGAAGCUCAAAAUAAAUUGCCCAAUCAUACUACUCAGGAACAUCGACCCUGCUAAUGGACUCUGCAACGGUACGAGGUUGGUCGUGCGUGGAUUUCAAAAAAAUGCAAUUGACGCAGAGAUUGUGGUGAGACAGCACUCUGGAAUGCGAGUUUUCCUGCCUCGGAUACCAUUAUGUCCCUCUGACGAUGACAUGUUCCCGUUCAGUUUCAAGAGGAAACAGUUCCCAAUAAGGCUCAGUUUUGCAAUGACAAUAAACAAAUCACAAGGACAGACAAUACCAAAUGUUGGCGUAUACCUGCCUGAACCAGUUUUUUCACAUGGUCAAUUAUAUGUCGCGCUUUCUAGAGCAACCGCGACAUCAAACAUAAAGGUUCUAACAGGUACACAUGAUGAGAACAAGCAGAAGAAUAAAAAGACCACUACAUGCGACACAUACACAAAGGGGGAGAAGAAUAUGAAGAGCACUACAAGCGGGACAUAUACGAAAAAUAUUGUAUACACGGAAGUAUUAACCAAAUAG